CAUUGAGACAGAGCCCUAUGGCAGGAAGGCUGCAGAGUCCUGCCAUGUCAGAAGGAGAAGGGAGGUCACUGGGCAACCCUUACUCAUGGGGAGUGUGCGCUCAUUGCAGCAUCAGACCUGCCUCUUUUCUUCUCUUGACCUGCACAGACCAGGAGCAGUCCUUGAGUGCUGUACCUGGGAUAUUGCAGAUGGAGCCACAUGCCUGUAAAACAGUUCUAAUUGAAAAGAGGCUGCCAUUGCUUCCCAAACAAUUGAAAACCGCACAAAACCAAACUUGGGGUUAGAACUCCCUCUUUGACUUUGGUUCAACACUGUCAGCUGGAAAACUUCCAUCCAGAGGCUGAUGUCAUCAUUACGAAUUGUCAGUUCCUAGUAUCACAGCUAAUGCUCUGGUGGUUUUGUUAGAAAGACAGUUGCUGUAGCGGCAGCAGCUAAUUGUUCUUUGGAUUUGUCUUUCAUUGUAGAAUUUUAUGAAU